rnacentral:rRNA from 1 species
AACGAACGCUGGCGGCAGGCUUAACACAUGCAAGUCGAGCGCCUCGCAAGGGGAGCGGCAGACGGGUGAGUAACGCGUGGGAAUCUACCCUUUCCUACGGAAUAACACAGAGAAAUUUGUGCUAAUACCGUAUACGCCCUUCGGGGGAAAGAUUCAUCGGGGAAGGAUGAGCCCGCGUCGGAUUAGCUAGUUGGUGGGGUAAUGGCCCACCAAGGCGACGAUCCGUAGCUGGUCUGAGAGGAUGACCAGCCACAUUGGGACUGAGACACGGCCCAAACUCCUACGGGAGGCAGCAGUGGGGAAUAUUGGACAAUGGGCGCAAGCCUGAUCCAGCCAUGCCGCGUGAGUGAUGAAGGCCUUAGGGUUGUAAAGCUCUUUCACCCACGACGAUAAUGACGGUACCUGAAGAAUAAGCACCGGCUAACUACGUGCCAGCCGCCGCGGUAAUAC